AUGCAUCUACCAAAAAUCAAGGGAGGCAUGGGAUUCAGGGAUCUCCAUGCUUUCAAUUUAGCUAUGUUGUCUAAGCAAAGUUGGAGGCUAUUAUCUCAGCCAUAUACUUUAUGUGCAAGAGUUCUCCGGGCCAAAUAUUACCCAGAUGGAAACCUGCUAAAAGCAGGGCUGAAAAAAUGAUCCAGUUUUACUUGGCAAAGUAUUUUUGCGGGACUCCAAACCUUUCGGAGAGGUCAUAUUUGGAGAAUUGGCUCAGGAGAGAAAAUUAUUAUUUGGGACGAUCACUGGAUUCCAUCUAGUCAGACACGUAUGGUUAUGACUAGACGUGGAAAUACUUUGUUGAGAAUAAUCAAUGAGGUGGUGUCGGAUACAUCAAGCUAGGACGAGGAUCUCAUUAGGAGUGUAUUUUUGCCGGUGGAUGCAGAAAGAAUCCUAAAACUACCUCUUUCGGAGCACCUCACUAAAGACCUUGUUGCAUGGAAUCAUACUAAAUCUUUUUUGUUCUCAGUUUGUUCUGCAUAUUACGUGGAAUGGGAACAUCAAUACGGCACAUAA
rnacentral:rRNA from 1 species